rnacentral:rRNA from 1 species
AGUGUAGGCGGCUGCGUAAGUCGGAUGUGAAAGCCCUGGGCUCAACCUGGGAAUGGCAUUCGAAACUGCGCGGCUAGAGUCUGAUAGAGGGAAGUGGAAUUCCAGGUGUAGCGGUGAAAUGCGUAGAUAUCUGGAGGAACAUCAGUGGCGAAGGCGGCUUCCUGGAUCAAGACUGACGCUGAGGCUCGAAAGGCGUGGGAGCAAACA